UACGAAGGGGACUAGCGUUGUUCGGAAUCACUGGGCGUAAAGCGCACGUAGGCGGAUGUGUCAGUCAGGGGUGAAAUCCCGGGGCUCAACCUCGGAACUGCCUUUGAUACAGCACGUCUCGAGUCCGGAAGAGGUGGGUGGAAUUCCUAGUGUAGAGGUGAAAUUCGUAGAUAUUAGGAAGAACACCGGUGGCGAAGGCGGCCUACUGGUCCGGUACUGACGCUGAGGUGCGAAAGCGUGGGGAGCGAACAGG
rnacentral:rRNA from 1 species